GAUGAACGCUGGCGGCGUGCUUAAUACAUGCAAGUCGAACGGUACUCGCAAGAGUAUAGUGGCGAACGGGUGAGUAACGCGUUGGUGACCUGCCCCGAAGAGAGGGAUAACAGAUCGAAAGGUCUGCUAAUACCCGCAUGCUUUCACGGAGAUUAGAAUUCUGUGAAGAAAUGGCGAAAGUCGCUUCGGGAGGGACCUGCGUCCCAUCAGCUAGUUGGUGAGGUAACGGCCCACCAAGGCUAUGACGGGUAGGGGACCUGAGAGGGUGGCCCCCCACAAUGGAACUGAAACACGGUCCAUACACCUACGGGUGGCAGCAGUAGGGAAUAUUGGUUAAUGGGCGAAAGCCUGACCCAGCAACGCCGCGUGAGUGAUGAAGGCCUUCGGGUUGUAAAACUCUUUUUAUGGGGUAUGAGGAAGGACAGUACUCAUAGAAUAAGUAC
rnacentral:rRNA from 1 species